CUUUUCCAAAGGGAUGGAAUGUGCACAACUGCUUUCCUGCAGCACAGUGUGCACGUGGGGUGUGCCAGGGAAGUUUUUAAUUUUGGCAUUUUGCAAGAAUCUCUACAAAGAAAGGUUUUCAUCUGGAAAUACUUCUCUGCCUGUCUUUGUUUCCUUUUUUCAUUUUGGCCCUCAGGAAAAGAAGAAGCAAGAGCAAAAAAGGUGUUCUGUAUGGCUUUACCAUCAUCAACACCCAGCUUGGUGCAGUGACAGGGGAAAUCACCUUCCAUCAACCCUCCACCUCUCUCACCUCCGGUGGUUUGUUUACUCUGUUUUUACUAUCUUAUUAAAAGUCUAAAGAUUUUAAGAAGUCUAGAAGCAGUUAUAAGUGGUCAAGGUGUUUGGGAGUUCUGAGGGUUAUUUCAGACUACUCCUUGCCCUGCACUAAAAAGCUGAUUGCAGAUUUUGGCAGAAGAGUUCUGGGGACACAGAGGCAGAUUUUUUUCCCCAAGGAUUUAAAUUCUGGAAGAAAAGGACCCAUGAAGAGGUGGAAUUUUCUUCUACUGAUGAUCAGUGUCCUGGAGCCUGACCAUACAGGUCAGUGAAGGGUUUGUGCUGCCCUUGGAAGAGCA
rnacentral:lncRNA from 1 species